rnacentral:rRNA from 1 species
UACGUAGGGCGCAAGCGUUGUCCGGAAUUAUUGGGCGUACAGAGCUCGUAGGCGGUUUGUCGCGUCUGCUGUGAAAACCUAAGGCUCAACCUUGGGCUUGCAGUGGGUACGGGCAGACUAGAGUGCGGUAGGGGUGACUGGAAUUCCUGGUGUAGCGGUGGAAUGCGCAGAUAUCAGGAGGAACACCGAUGGCGAAGGCAGGUCAGUGGGCCGCAACUGACGCUGAGGAGCGAAAGCAUGGGGAGCGAACAGG